GAUGAACGCUAGCGGCAGGCCUAAUACAUGCAAGUCGAACGGUGUCUUCGGACAUAGUGGCGCACGGGUGCGUAACACGUAUGCAACCUACCUUACAUUGGGGGAUAGCCUUUCGAAAGGGAGAUUAAUACCGCAUAAGACAGUAGUCUGGCACCAGACAGCUGUUAAAGAUUUAUCGAUGUAUGCUGGGCAUGCGUCCAAUUAGUUAGUUGGCGAGGUAACGGCUCACCAAGACUAUGAUUGGUAGGGGAACUGAGAGGUCAAUCCCCCACACUGGCACUGAGAUACGGGCCAGACUCCUACGGGAGGCAGCAGUAGGGAACAUUGGGCAAUGGACGCAAGUCUGACCCAGCCAUGCCGCGUGCAGGAAGAAGGCGUUAUGCGUUGUAAACUGCUUUUAUACAGGAAGAAACGACUCUUGCGAGAGGCAUUGACGGUACUGUAUGAAUAAGCACCGGCUAACUCCGUGCCAGCAGCCGCCGUAAUAC
rnacentral:rRNA from 1 species